UACGGGAGUGGCAAGCGUUAUCCGGAAUUAUUGGGCGUAAAGCGUCCGCAGGCGGUUCUGUAAGUCUGCCGUUAAAGCGUGGAGCUUAACUCCAUUUCGGCGGUGGAAACUGCAGGACUUGAGUGUGGUAGGGGCAGAGGGAAUUCCCGGUGUAGCGGUGAAAUGCGUAGAUAUCGGGAAGAACACCAGUGGCGAAAGCGCUCUGCUGGGCCAUAACUGACGCUCAUGGACGAAAGCCAGGGGAGCGAAAGGGAUUAGAUACCCCUGUAGUCCUGGCCGUAAACGAUGAACACUAGAUGUCGGGGGAAUCGACCCCCUCGGUGUCGUAGCCAACGCGUUAAGUGUUCCGCCUGGGGAGUACGCACGCAAGUGUG
rnacentral:rRNA from 1 species